AGGGUUUGAUCCUGGCUCAGGAUGAACGCUAGCGGCAGGCCUAAUACAUGCAAGUCGAGGGGUAACAGAAAGUGCUUGCACUUUGCUGACGACCGGCGGACGGGUGAGUAACGCGUAUAUAAUCUGCCUCAUACUAGAGGAUAGCCCGAAGAAAUUUGGAUUAAGACUCUAUAGUAUCAUUUAAAGACAUCUUUUUAUGAUUAAAGGUUACGGUAUGAGAUGAGUAUGCGUUCUAUUAGUUUGUAGGUGAGGUAACGGCUCACCUAGACUACGAUAGAUAGGGGCCCUGAGAGGGGGACCCCCCACACUGGUACUGAGACACGGACCAGACUCCUACGGGAGGCAGCAGUAAGGAAUAUUGGUCAAUGGACGAAAGUCUGAACCAGCCAUGCCGCGUGCAGGAUGAAUGCCCUAUGGGUUGUAAACUGCUUUUAUACAGGAAGAAAAACUUUCUCGUGAGAAAGCUUGACGGUACUGUAAGAAUAAGGAUCGGCUAACUCCGUGCCAGCAGCCGCGGUAAUACGGAGGAUCCAAGCGUUAUCCGGAAUUAUUGGGUUUAAAGGGUCCGUAGGUGGAUAAUUAAGUCAGAGGUGAAAUCCUGCAGCUUAACUGUAGAAUUGCCUUUGAUACUGGUUAUCUUGAGUUAUUAUGAAGUGAUUAGAAUGUGUAGUGUAGCGGUGAAAUGCAUAGAUAUUACACAGAAUAC
rnacentral:rRNA from 1 species